UGGUGCCAGCAGCCGCGGUAAUUCCAGCUCCAAUAGCGUAUAUUAAAGUUGUUGCAGUUAAAAAGCUCGUAGUUGAAUUUCGGGGUUAGUAAGUUGGUCAUGCCUCCGGUAUGCACUGGCUUUACUGAUUCCUCCUUCUUGAUGAACUGUAAUGUCAUUAAUUUGGUGUUGCAGGGAAUCAGGACUGUUACUUUGAAAAAAUUAGAGUGUUUAAAGCAGGCAUACGCUUGAAUACAUUAGCAUGGAAUAAUGAAAUAGGACGUUUGAUCCUAUUUUGUUGGUUUCUAGGAUUGACGUAAUGAUUAAUAGGGAUAGUUGGGGGCAUUAGUAUUCAAUUGUCAGAGGUGAAAUUCUUGGAUUUAUUGAAGACUAACUACUGCGAAAGCWUUUGCCAAGGAUGUUUUCAUUAAUCAAGAACGAAAGUUAGGGGAUCGAAGACGAUCAGAUACCGUCGUAGUCUUAACCAUAAACUAUGCCGACUAGGGA
rnacentral:rRNA from 1 species